GACGAACGCUGGCGGCGUGCUUAACACAUGCAAGUCGAACGGAAAGGCCCUGCUUUUGUGGGGUGCUCGAGUGGCGAACGGGUGAGUAACACGUGAGUAACCUGCCCUUGACUUUGGGAUAACUUCAGGAAACUGGGGCUAAUACCGGAUAGGAGCUCCUGCUGCAUGGUGGGGGUUGGAAAGUUUCGGCGGUUGGGGAUGGACUCGCGGCUUAUCAGCUUGUUGGUGAGGUAGUGGCUUACCAAGGCUUUGACGGGUAGCCGGCCUGAGAGGGUGACCGGCCACAUUGGGACUGAGAUACGGCCCAGACUCCUACGGGAGGCAGCAGUGGGGAAUAUUGCACAAUGGGCGGAAGCCUGAUGCAGCAACGCCGCGUGCGGGAUGACGGCCUUCGGGUUGUAACCCGCUUUCGCCUGUGACGAAGCGUGAGUGACGGUAAUGGGUAAAGAAGCACCGGCUAACUACGUG
rnacentral:rRNA from 1 species